CCUUAAAGCAACACACACACCCUGACGUCAGACCGCGCCUCCGCAGUCCAUGCACAUCACUACUGGAGCCAUCUUAUCCUGAAGGGAGAAGAGAGGAAGCAGGGAAAGCCUGUGCUCUUGCACACAGGCACCAUUGCAAAAUGAAGAGAACAAGAGAGAAAUCCUUUUGAACCAGCGUGGGUGUGCAAGGAUAUCUUUUUAAACCAAAACGUCUAUGAGGAGAAAGAGAGAAAAAUUCAGAAGGCAGUAAUGGCUCGGCAAAGAGCUCUGAAAUUUGGCACACAGACAUUUGAAAACCUAGGGAGCAGGAAGAGGAGAAGCUGUGAGGGUGGCAAUGCUGCUGCACCCCCAGCUGUCCACUUCACCCACCUUCAAGACAAAUUCUUCCAUCUUCUCCAUGGCAUGAUGGGCCUGAAGUGGCAGCAUCAGGACCCGGACAGGAUCUGUGCCAUCUGCAUUCUCCUCUAACUCUGGUUCGUCU